rnacentral:lncRNA from 1 species
AGUGAGUUCAGCCUAUCAUUUGAGAUCCGAGUAUGAUUGGGGAAAUAUCCUGAAAUAGUCUAUGAUUUGAAGAAAUGGAUAGAUGGCUAGAAUAACAUGCUAGAUGGUAGUCAAGUUACUAACUGCAGAAUUGAUUUGAUAAAAUUCUCAUCGUGUCUCCUGACUUAGGAGAAAUAUUGGGUCUGAUGAAUGGGUAAAAUUCCCAGGUGAAAAGAAUUUGGUCUGUAAGAUUUGGCAGCACCCUGAGGUUUGCCAUAUCUGAUGGCCUGGCUUUAGUGGCAGCACCUAGUGAAGGCCCAGGUGUCCUUCUGACAACCUUUACCACCUACCGUUUUGUCCUUACUUAUGUUGAAUCACUACACACAGGCUGUUGAAUUCAGCUGUCUGUGGAGAAAUUAUACCAACCACAUGGUUAGACAGAAGGAAUACAAUAUAUUGCUUAAUUUGUAUCUGAAAGCUAAGCAACAUGGAAAAAAAUCAAGCAUGCUCAGUCACUUCCAUGAGGACAAACGAAGACACUUCAAGGAUAAUGAUUGAUACACCUCCCAUGCCC